GACAGAGGUGGCAAGCGUUGUUCGGAUUUAUUGGGUGUAAAGGGCAGGUAGGCGGUCGGGCAAGUCCGGCGUGAAAUCCCAUGGACUCAACCGUGGAACUGCGUUGGAAACUGCCUGACUUGAGUACCGGAGAGGUGAAGGGAAUUCUCGGUGUAAGGGUGAAAUCUGUAGAUAUCGGAGAAGGAACACCAGUGGCGAAGGCGCUU
rnacentral:rRNA from 1 species